rnacentral:rRNA from 1 species
AAUAAAUGCUAUUGGUAUGCUUAACACAUACAAGUCGUACGAGAAAUCUUGGGCAACUGAGAGAGUAAAGUGGCGCACGGGUGAGUAACGCGUGGGUAACCUGCCCUUGAAUUGGGGAUAACUUUCCGAAAGGAAGGUUAAUACCGAAUAACAUUCCGAUGCCCCCGGGUGUUGGAAUCAAAGGUGGCCUCUGCAUGCAAGCUACUGUUCAAGGAUGGACACGCGUACCAUUAGCUUGUUGGUAGGGUAACGGCCUACCAAGGCAGCGAUGGUUGCCGUGGUCGAGAGGAUGGCCAGCAACACUGGAACUCGGACCCGGUCCAGACUCCUACAGGAGGCAGCAGUGGGGAAUCUUGCGCAAUGGGGGAAACCCUGACGCAGAACGCCGCGUGGGUGAUGAAGGCCUUCGGGUCGUAAAGCCCUGUCAGGUGGGAAGAACCGUGUCGGUACAAACAGUGCCGAUGCUUGACGGUACCACCGGAGGAAGCACCGGCUAACUCCGUGCCAGCCGCCGCCGUAA